AAAAGCAAUCAAAGCCUUAGAGGGCUUGAUGGAAGCAAAUAGGGACUUUGAAGAACUAAAAGUAUGUGUUCCAGUCUAUAUAAUGUUUAUUUUUCUUAGAUUUUCAUGUACGUACUUCUUUUGGGCACAAAUCAAACCAGCUCCUGAACUGCUAGAUGAGCUGUGCAUUGUGGUUCGUUAUAGCUGAAGCACAUUUCAUGAAUAAGGUUGAAGCCUUAUCGAGUGUAAACCAUAAAAAUCUUAUGAACCUUGUGGGUUAUUGUGAAGAUGAAAACCCUUCAUCUGGAUGAUGGUCUUCGAGUAUGUUUCAAAUGGAUCACUAUUCGAAGAAUUAGUGGAACACAACAUACUUACAUUUUACGAGUUCCCUUCAGAAAUGAAAACGGGAUACUUAAGAAAUGGAUAUCAAGAUUUGAUGUGUGGCCAUAUCUGGAAACAUUUGCUGAGCUUCUUUUAAUGAAAAAAAAUCUGAGGAAAGUACCUUAUGACUUCAUGGUACAAUGUAAAAUCUGUGAAUAGUUAGUUAGGAGACGAUAUUUGAUACCCCCUCAAUUUCAAAUUGUAAUUCAGUUUUUUUUUUCUAGAUUUGUAGUUUUACUAUGUAACUCAGUGAAAAUUAUAUACCUAGAAAGCAAGACAACUUACAACUUGUAAUGGAGAGAGUACAUAUUAAGAAAAGGUCCAACACUCAAAAGGUAAGAAUCCAAAUUAUUUCCAGUAGAGUUGCAUGAAAAAGCAACAUUUCUGCCUUUGCAAGUGUUGAUUUCUUAUAUGCAAAUUUUCUGUGUACCGGUUCUUUUUUACAUGACAUUUUCUACUUCAAUGGUCUUCCCCAUUUGACAAAAGCUGUAUUUUCCUUUUUUAUAUAGGAUGCUGCUGGUGAAAUUGCUACUGAAUUACAAGGUACUCCAGACUUCAUAAUUGGAAACUACAGUGAUGGAAAUCUUGUGGCAUCGUUGCUAUCUUACAAGAUGGGAAUUACCCAUUGCAACAUUGCUCAUGCUCUGGAAAAGACUAAGUAUCCAGAUUCAGACAUAUUUUGGAAGAAUUUUGAUGAGAAGUACCAUUUCUCCUGUCAGUUCACUACUGAUAUAAUUGCUAUGAACAAUGCUGAUUUUAUCAUCACCAGCACAUACCAAGAAAUUGCUGGAAGCAAAAAUAUUGUUGGACAGUAUGAGAGUCAUAUUGCCUUUACUCCGAGUUGUCCAUGGGAUCGAUGUCUUCGAUCCAAAGUUCAAUAUAGUCUCUCCUGGAGCUGACAUGUCCAUAUACUUUCCACAUACCGAGAAGGCCAAGCGACUCACCUCUCCAUGGUUCAAUCAAAAAUUUGAUUUAUGACCCGGAGCAAAACGAUGAACACAUUGGGCAUCUGGAUGACCGGUCAAAGCCCAUCCUCUUCUCCAUGGCAAGACUCGACAGGGUGAAGGACAUAACAAGGCUGGUCGAAGCUUUUGCUAAGUGCGCUAAGCUGAGGGAGCUGGUAAACCUUGUUGUCGUUGCCGGGUACAAUGAUGUCAAGAAGUCCAAGGACAGGGAAGAGAUCGCGGAGAUAGAGAAGAUGCA